CAACCCUCAGGCCCUGGUUGCCUGGUGUUGGGGCGCCGCGGCCCAUCAGCGGCCGCGGGCCCCCAAAGUCAGUGGCGGGCUCGCCAGGACUCCGAGCGCAGUAGUUUACACCCUCGCUGCGGAGGACCUGGCGGGUUUCCCGGCCGUAAAACACCCCAAAUCUUACAA
rnacentral:misc_RNA from 1 species